AUUGCUUUUCAGCCUUUUGGCUAAGAUCAAGUGUAGUAUCUGUUCUUAUCAAUUUAAUAUCAGAUAUGUCCUCUAUCAGAUGACAACACAUUAAAUGGAUUUUUGGAGCAGGGAGAUGGAACAGGAGCUUGCUUCAUCCACUCCACACAUCACCCUGGUAUUGCAGUAUCUCCCAGAAUGGUACAGCCCCA